UUCCUUAAACAGUUUUCUAAGAUGGUGGGGUUACUUUAGGUAUGGUGCUUUUAUGUGAAGCUGCUACCUCUGACCUGGAUAUUGGGAAGCGAAGGAUGAUGUGUGUGGCUGGAAUUGGACUCGUUGUGUUAUUCUUCAGUUGGAUGCUCUCUAUAUUUCGAUCAAAAUACCAUGGCUAUCCAUACAGUUUUCUGAUGAGUUAAAGAGGAUUCCAGAGACACAUAGACCCUGUGGUAAUAAUGGAAACUGAAUAAUAGUAAAUAUGUGGUGUUUGAAGAAGAAUGCAACUCAUGUAUUUUAUAUUACCUCUUUUUUUGUCAAGUGAUUUAAAUAGUUAAUCAUUUAACCAAAGAUGUGUAGUGCCUUAACAAGCAAUUGUAAGAUCAUGAAGUAUUUGGAAUUAGUCUCCUCUUAACCGUCCCAUCCCUAUGAGCGUAUGAAACAUUUGAUUUUGUAGAAUUAAGUACUUUAUUAAAAAAAAUUAAAACUACUACUUUGUUUUACUUAGAGCAAAACUUAAAACUACUUUACUUAACUUUUGGUCAUCUAAUUUUAUCUUAUCCAAGGUUGGGGAUGGAAGGUUCUAAGCAGGAAUUAAUUUCCACUUCUGCCUAUUACAAACAACUGCAUCUGGAAGCCAUCAUUAGUUUUCCUUUGUGCAGAUGUAUGUGAUUUACAUCUUUCCUUGGGGCCAAGGUAUCAUAUGCACUAUGUGAACUUCUGAAAAUGGACCAUGUAGCCUUUGGAAAGAUAAAUCUGUCUUCCUGUAUCUUUCCUACUAAAAUUAGAGCUACAUAUGCCUCUUUUACACAUUAAAAAGUACCUCUAACUAUAAGACUAUGAUUUCUGCAUGAGUGUGCUCUACCUUGUACAUGGAAAGAUUUCUGAUUUAUUCUGUUUCUAGUUUUAUUAAAGUGGCCCUUCUCUAAUAAUUAUAAUUUGUUGCUAAAAUGUUAGUAUAACUUAUAAAUGGUCUCAGAUGUUUGUGUAAGUUAGUUAGACGUUGUUGUUGAUCUCAUUUUUACCUAACAGAAAAAUAAGCUGUGUUGUGUUCAUGGAAAGGACUCUCUUAGAAUGAGAAAAGAAAACCAUGAAAUACUGAUUUGUUGCCUAUGGAUAAAAAUGAAACAUUUUGCCAGGCUUUUGGCAGAUACAGGCUGAUCUUUGUGACUUUGUGGCCAGCCUGGGCUACAUAAUGAGACCCUGUCCCCUGUCUCAAAAAAAAGAGAGAGAGAUAAAUGUAAAUGUUGUUAAGAUGUUGGUAGACUGCUUGCCCAGCAUGGGUGACACUCUGGGUUCAAUCCUCGAUGCCACCAAAAAAAAAAAAAAAAAACUUCUUGAAACCUGGUCUUUUUUUUUUUUUUUUUUUUUAAUGCACAUGUUCCUUGAAACCUGGGCUAUUUUUUAAAUAAGUAUUUCUUCAAGCCUGGUCUAGUUUUUGAUUUUUAUUUGUGUGUUUGUUUUCUAAAAGAAAUGUGUUGAAACCUGGUCCUGUUGGUUUACUUUGCCUUUUUGUGACCUAGCACUGACUGGUCUUGAACUCCUGUAUGGAGACCUGGGUCACCUCCACCUCACAAUGAUGCUCAUGUCUCAGCUUCCUAAGUGCUGGGAUUAUAGGCAUACAUUGCCAUUGAACCUAGUCUGCUUCCUGCUAUCAUUUUAGCUUUUAUUUUCCCCCAUCAAUUAGAUAUACAAAGAAUGGUGAUGUACAUGUCUCAGCUCUUAGCUACCCUGGUUACUGAAUUAGGAUCCCUGAAGUCUGGCAUCAUAUUAACACCUCAUUUCAAAAAUGUGUAUAAUAUAAUUGUGAAGGGAUUUUGUUUGAAUUUUGGGUUUUUUCCCUCUGAUAGUAAAAUAACCAUAUAGACUAACCAAAUUCUCAUGAGGGAUAUUUAAGUCAUGGUUAUAUUAUGUCUAACUUUGACCUCCAACAAAGUUAUGAAGAGUAACUUGAAAUGCCACUGUUAUUAAAGUGUGGAGUUGGGAUGUAGUUUAGUGGUAGAGCACUUGGCUAGCAUGUAUGAGGCCCUGUGUUCAGUCCCCCAAAAGUGAGAAUUGUAACUGUGAAACAACAUAAAAAAUUAUUAGAAAUAUUACAUUUAAGAGAUAGAGAUGGGUAUGUGGUUCAAUUGAUGCAGUGCUUGCCGAACAUCUAGGAAACCCUGGGUUCCAUCCACUACAUCACAUAAGCCAGAUGCGGUGCAUGCAUGUAAUCCUGGCACACUCAGGAGACAGACAAGAAGCUCAGAAAUUCAAGCUCAGCCUUGAAUACAUAGUGAGUUUAAGGCCAGCCAGAGCUACAUGAGACCCUAUCUCAAAGACAAACAUACUGUGACUGUUUCCUGCUAUUGGUUAUGUAAUAUCUCUCUCCUGUCUUAUAUAAUAGAGGUUUGUGGAAAGAAGACAUAAUUGUCCCAGAAGAAAUUUUCGAGGAUUUGUUUGUUGUUGUUACAAAUUUGAUGAGUAAGUGGAUAUAGUUGACUGUUUCUUAUAAAUUGAGUGAUUCUGAAUGUCUUGUCUGCUAUUCUUGUAUUUGUCUCUGCCAAAUGAAGUUAGGCUGUGAUUUUUAGGAAUCUUGUAAGAUUGAACGAACUGGGCAGUACUCGUGCUAUGUACCCUCUGUAGCUCCAAGUCAGUGUUCUGUCUGUUUUCUCUCUGUUUAAGAGCAGCACUCUUCAGGAUGAAGAAAGGCACGCUCUGGCUAAAAUCUGUGAAAGCAGAUUUUCUCCACUUAAAAUAGUGUUACUUUUGUGGAAAUUUUAAAUUUAGCUUUUAUCUGAAGUGCCUUAAGUAGAUUCUUAAUUUACUUUUCUAGUAAUGGUUUAAAUAUAAUUCAUUAUGUAUUUUAAUAUACUGUUCAAAAAUGAUACAUUAUUAUGGCAAAGAUAACCAAAUGUCUGGCUUACUGCUUCCUAUCAAUAAACUUUUGCAAUCUAAA